rnacentral:lncRNA from 1 species
GUGUAGCUCUAAACAAAAAAACAAACAAACGAAAAAGAAUCGUCCCUUCAGUAAGUCAGUCAAAAGAGGACAAAGUUGUGUGAUUCUACUUUAUGAGGUACCUAGAGUAGUUACAUUCAUAGAAACACCAAACAGAUGUGGAAGAAGGGGGGUGGGCAUUUGUACCUAAGGGGACAGAGAUUCAGUUGUGGGAAGACGAAAAAAUUCUAGAGAUGGAUGGUGGUCACCAAUGGCUACAGAACCACGUGAAUUUUACUCCAUGCCGCAGAACUUAAAAAUGGUAAAAAUGGUAAAUAUCCUGCUGUGCAUAUUUUAGCACAAGAAAAUAAAAGAAUUGUCAAUCGCGUCAUUAAUGGCUUGGGGGGGGCUCCUAUUUCCAGGGAUGUCUGGAAUUCCAGAAAGAUCUCCUUGUUUACCAGGGCGAUUUCAGUUUCAUGAAUGUCUUGUUGAGUGGAUCAGACGCACUGGGAUCUGAUCAAAGGAAAUCCCACAUCUGAAUAAAACACCAUGAGAACUCACUUCUUGUACAUUUCAUAGAGAUUCGGUCGAUGACAAUCAUUUAACGUCUGUCGGGAAAGAGACGUUUUCCAUCGGACCUGCACUUUGGAGACCUAGUUCACGGCUUGCGUUUUCUAACGAGCUCCAUCUGGGUCACUGUAAGACAUGUUAAAGUUUAAUGGUUGAUUUUCAAGAGUAAAUGCUAAUUUAAGAAACUUGAGAGUGGGGCUCUGCUGACAGCUCCCUUGCAUAGCUUGUAUAAUGACUGAUUACUGAUUUGGCAAACUACAAGGUUUACAAAACUGCAAAGUCACUGAUAAUGCAUGCAUAAAACAGGAACUUGGGAAACAUCCUUAGCAAACAGACCUGGAGCCACACCGCUGAGUCCUGGGUGACAAGGGAAGGGGAGUUGCGAUGUCUAAAGUUUCCCACGGAAUCACUCUAUUGGUGAAGUCAAAACACAAGAGUGGGAACUAGUGCGCGGGCAGGGAGAAGCAAAGUCCAGCCCGAAGGGACACUUAAACAGAGAAUGACUCAACCCUAACUCUAACCCUAAUCCUAACGCUAAAGUACAGAGGUGGCCAUCAGCAAGGACCGGGUGACCACAGAGCGUCACCUGCUGAUGAAAAGGAGAACAUUCCCUUCGCUCAUCAGAUGUUUUAUGUCAACAUUGGGGUGGGAAGCCCUGCCUCCCUGAAAAUGCUCAAAAGUCGUUAAUCCAACAUUUCCCUUUUCCUCCAGCGAUGACACGGGAACCAGGCUGAGAGAGAACACGAUAAGAAGACAGAAAAAGGAACUCGAAUUUCCCUUUUCAGGAUGACCUUUGUCACCCAGGCUUUGGGGCUCAUCUCAUCUUUGGGGCUUGAUUAACCAGAGGGCACUUCCUGGUUCCAGGCUAAGUGCCACUGGACUUGUGCCAGGUAGUGAUGCCUCUGUGCUUCUGGCCUGGCUGACCUCCCUCGACACGGCCUCCUUGUGCCACGAGCUGGCUGAUUUUUUUUUUGCCCUCAGAAUGUCCUCUAAGCCUGCCUUGGUGCUGCCUUAGCUUCUGAGAGCCCAGGCAGAAGGCUCGCCCAAGCCAUCGCUCCCUUCCAGGGAGCAGAGCUCCAAGAAAAGAACAUACAUUUGCAAAUCAUAAAGGAACUGGGGAGUUAUUUCCAAAAUGUUUGCUCGAGGACUGCAAGUUCAGCUAUCUCAUAGCUAAAGGUUAAAAGACUCAAAGACCUCAUCCUUCAUAACCGUUCUGUUUGAAGCCGUUUUGGAGCUGGAGAAAGAAAGAAAAAAAAAAGAAGAAUAUCUAAUUUUGUGACUCCCAUUUUCAAAUUCAAAUCUCAAAUGUUCCCUGAGGCUGUGGAUUGCGAAGGCUGUGCAGUGAUGAAAACUUAAUGAAAGACCCAGAAAGACCAUAGAUCACGCUGGCCCAUCAACUGUCAUAGGUAAGGGGACAAUCAUGACAUUAUUCUAAUGUUUAGGGAUGUUCUUGGCUGUGUUUCAUGCUCUGCAGUGACAGCUACCCUGGCUUCAGCCUUCAUCACUGUCUGCACGAGCUCGUCCGUGGUUUCUGCCGUGUAGUUUCUUCCUUCUGCCUCUGUUUAAAAAAAAAAAAAAAUGUUUAACCACAAAAUCUAUGCAUGGUGAUAUCUUUAUGUCAUCCCUUUAUGUCAUGAUUUAGUCACUUCCCAUCCCAGGCUCUAUUAUUUUUCAGUCCAUUAACUCUGCCCCCAGUUAUCUUUUCAUAACAGCUGCAUAGAUCAUAUAAAUGCUAUUCCCUGGUUUCCCCAUUCCUGCAGGAUAGGUUAAAGCCCUUUGGACAAAAUACAGAGACUUCACAACAGGAACUUUGACUCAUUUUACAGCCUCAUGUCCUGUCCGUGCGGCCCCGCCCUCCUCUGUCCCAAGCCCCCAGCUCCACGGCGGUUUAUGCCACCGCAUCCCACACAUGUGAGAAUCAUUUACUUCUCAGUGCUUUUCCUGGAACUUCCUUUCUUUCUUUCUCUGCCUGGACCAUGAGGACUUGGCCUCCAGCGUUCCCAACUGUCCUCAUCUGUGAAGUCUUUCCCAGCCUCAGGUCAGGUCAUUGCUCUGCUCUCCAGCGACAGGGUGUCAUUUUGGAGCUGUCUGUUUACACACCUGGGAGCUGUUCCUAUUCCCAUGACUUUACUCAGACACGCAAGAAGCCCGCCUCUUGGACUCUCUCUUUUGUUACAGGGCCUGGUCCCACACUUUGCUCAAUGCCGAAUGACCGAAACGAUAUGUGAAGAACAAGAAGAUGACAGUACCCAGAAGAGUGGCUAAGGGGUGCCCCGCCUUCCACAGCGCUAAGUUUGACACAAGUUGCUCUACCCAGAUUCGGGGGUACCACCCUCUGUCCUUCGCCAAGAGCUCCAAGAUGAGAGGUUAGUCCUUCUUUCCUGGUUGAUUUCCUGCUUGAAGUUCAUGUCCUCAUCGUCUCGUAGAAGGAAAGUUGACUUGUAAAUGGAACGAAGUAUUUAUGUGUUACAUCUAGGGUGAGCUCAGCUCCUCUUUCAAUUGCGGGUAACGGUACCCCUAAAGGAGACUUGUUAAAUCUCUCCCCAAAUGCCCACACACCAUAUCCAGAGUUUCCAGGAAUGGCAAGUGUUACGCCUCCAAACGACACACUCUGACAAAGAAUAAGCUUAUCCAGGAGUUCCCACUGUGGCUCAUAGGGUUAAGAACCUGACAUAGUGUCUGCGAGGGUGCAAGUUCAAUCCCUUCCCUUGCUCAGUGGGUUAAAGAUCUGGCAUUGCUACAAGAUGUGGCAUAGGUCACAGGUGAGGCUCAGACCUGGCAUUGCUGUGGCUGUGGUGUAGCCUGGCAGCUGCAGCUCUGAUUCAUCCCCUAGCCUGGGAACCUCCAUAGACCAUGGGUGCCGUACUUUAAAAAAAGAAAGAAAGAAAGAAAAAAGAAUAAGCUUAUCCAGCCUCUUCUGCCAGCUGCUGGGAGUGUUAGUUAUCACACCUCUCCAAAACACAAUUUGAAAAAUGCAUCCAAAGUCUUCAAAACCUUCCACCACUUUGGGUCAGCAAUCUUACUUCUCACUUUAGUGAUGGAGGAAAAAUGCACAUAGAUAGACAGACAGAUAGAUAGAUAGAGAUAUAUAGAUAUUGAUGUAUAGAUAUAGAUAGAUAGAUGUAGAUAUACAUCCCCGGACCAUUUAUAUUAGAAAAAAAAUUAAAGCAAGGAGUUAAUUAUGGAGCACACACUAGUCAGUAUUAAUUAUAUCUUAGAAGACUUUAACAACAUUCCCCAAAUGGCCAUAUUAAUUUGUUAAUGAAACACAAACAAACAUCUACCGACGUUUCCAUACGCACAGCUGCUAACAGAAAGGAAUCGGAGUCUUUUUCUUUUGGCCGCAGAAACAGCCUCAUCCCAAAGCAGGAAGAUAAGCAGGUGCUUAGCUGGCUGUUAAACCCUGAGUCUCACACGGACGCUCCCAGCAUCUCCAGUCAACCCUUCCUCCCUGUCUGUUCUCACGCAAGAAUUUUCCAGGGUGCACGGGCCCCUGCUGUCCCACACCCGAGACUCGGGAGGGGUGGAACACACCUGCUCCCAGCCGGGUUCCCAGGCCGUGUCUCGCCUCCAGGAGCAGGACAGCUGCUGCUGCGCGCUGGCUGUCCGGCCUGGGACCGUCUGCUCUGGGCUGGCUUUGCCUCCCAGGGGCAGAGAUCCCUCGGCUUCUCCAUCACGCGCACAGCGCACCCAAGAACCUAACACCUACCUCUGCAUCUUGGAUCCCAAAUGCUUCUCCAGGAGAAAAAUUAAAAGCAGAGAGCGUGAAAGAAGGAAAGGAAAAAGAGCCACUCUGCUCUGAGAAUUGCACCCGGGCCCCAGCCACCCUCCCGCAGGGACUCCUUCCACGUGUUGGGGCUACGAGCCCUCGGGGCGCGGAUGGGGGAUCAAGGGGGAUCCACGGGAUCCUGCAGAUCCUUUAGCCUCCUUCCUGCCCACGUUCCUCCCCAAGGAGAAUCAUGGGCGGUUAAUGCAGAGGGUCAUCAAAGGGACUGGACCCCAUGGAGCGCAGAUGCCUUGACCCAGUCUCAUUUGGGGACCUGUUUCCGGUUCCAUGUCACUUGCUGUUACAAUCCUGUCCCCGCCUAUGGCGCCUCUUCUUGGGCACGUCUUCCCUGGAGAAACGCGGCUUUCCGUGGCUUCUCAGUGAGCCUCUUCGUCUGGUUCCCUGUCGCUCCACACACAUUUUCUCCAGCCC